CCCGGUAGCCGCGGGGAGCCCAGGUGAGGGCGAUGGGAGCCGGAGCUGCAGCCUGGGGAGCAAAAGGUGACACGCAGCGAGCCAGAUGUACACUAUUGAGGCUGCAUCUGCCCUGGCUGUGGAACCAUGUGACUUGCUCAUGAAAACAGAAAAGAGACGUGAGGAGCAGGUGUUUGGAUGCUACAGUGAUGAAGAUGAGGGCUUCUAGGUAUUUGGAUACCAAGACCUGCCCAACAAGGUUUCACACCAUCACACAGCCAACCAGUUUUGAAAGCUGAUUAAACAGCAGUCAUCAGGGGAAUCAUUUAAAAGGACUAUGCUCCCAGAACUCUUCUUCUAAGUGUCAAGAAAAAAAUAAUUGAGGACAAGAGGAACAUCAGGCUGAAUAAACCGUGCCAGGAUGCCCACUGAUCCUAACUGAUAUGAAACAAUAAGCCUCUAGCCCAAGUGACAGAGCUUCUGCCAUUCAAUGAAGUCUUGCAGCUGAAUAAGUGACUGUCGUGAAGCCAAUAUCUGUGAUGAACUUUAGCCUUCAGGGCCAUUGGAUGACACAGAGGCCAGAAUAAAAACAGCACCUUUGGUUGUCGCCACCAUUUUCAUUUUCAUGUACUGGUCAAACUAACAUACUCCUCCUCUGUCCCUCAUAAUCUGCACAUUUUUGGAAGUGAUUUACAUCAGGUUCUUCAGUGUUGCCUAGUAUACCAGGAAUAUGGGAUAGCCCUUGCUACUCUGCUGAAGACCAGGACGCAGCCAUAUUCUACUGUAGCACAAAGACUAUAGGCAGAUGCCAGCAGUGAAGGACAGAAGAAAAUUAACUGGAUCAAUUAUAAUGAAAUAAAAUGAACAAACAUCUUUAAAACAUCUGUGCAAAUAGAAACAGGACUGAGACCACAGACUCACUUCACAUA